rnacentral:tRNA from 1 species
CAGGUGCGUAGCUCAACCGGCAGAGUGCGGGGUCGUGACUCCCGGAGGCGGUGGUUCGACUCCACCCCACCUGA